ACUACUGACAGUUUUAUGAUGAGAAAUAACCUCGAAAUUAAAAAAAUUCUCGAUUAGAAUAUUGAAAGUGUGUUUGGGAUUUGGGAUGAUGUAAAUAUCAGGUAAUUUGAUACUUACUGAUAUCAAAGAAACAUUUUUGUUCCCCUAUAAGUGGCUGGAUGGCGUAAGGUAAAACUUUCCAUUUCUUAAAUAAUAAUAUCGUUAGAGUUAUUAAUAAAGGUCCUCCCCAGCCAUAUAGACUGUAGAAUAUGAAUUUCUUCAGUUCUUUUUCUUUUUGGCUUGAUCCUAGAUAUAUCCUGGUGGUUCUGUCAAAAUUAUUGUUGAAAUUGAGGUUAUAUUAUCAUAAAUAAAGUUAUACAAGAAGAAGAGUAGUGGUAUCAACACAUUACGAAGAAAAAAUAGGCAGGCGGUGAUAUAAAAAGAAGAAUUAGGUUUAUACGAAACAUAAAGAAAAGUUUUUCGUCUCCUAUAAAUAGUAGGAUGGAAUUUUUUUAAUUCUUUUUAUUUAUGGCUCAAUUCAGAUAUAUCCUGGUAGUUCUGUCAAAUUUUUUGUUGAAAUUGAGGUUAUACAUAUUAUCAUAAAUAAAGUUAUAAAAGAAAAA